AUUGAACGCUGGCGGCAGGCCUAACACAUGCAAGUCGAGCGGAUGAAGGGAGCUUGCUCCUGGAUUCAGCGGCGGACGGGUGAGUAAUGCCUAGGAAUCUGCCUGGUAGUGGGGGAUAACGUCCGGAAACGGGCGCUAAUACCGCAUACGUCCUGAGGGAGAAAGUGGGGGAUCUUCGGACCUCACGCUAUCAGAUGAGCCUAGGUCGGAUUAGCUAGUUGGUGGGGUAAAGGCCUACCAAGGCGACGAUCCGUAACUGGUCUGAGAGGAUGAUCAGGCACACUGGGACUGAGACACGGUCCAGACUCCUACGGGAGGCAGCAGUGGGGAAUAUUGGACAAUGGGCGAAAGCCUGAUCCAGCCAUGCCGCGUGUGUGAAGAAGGUCUUCGGAUUGUAAAGCACUUUAAGUUGGGAGGAAGGGCAGUAAGUUAAUACCUUGCUGUUUUGACGGUACCAACAGAAUAAGCACCGGCUAACUUCGUG
rnacentral:rRNA from 1 species